rnacentral:lncRNA from 1 species
CAACAAAAGCGUAUCGAAUUAACGAGAUUUUUUUUAAUUUUGAAGAAAAAAGAUAGAUUGAAUAAAAUCGCAAGUACAUUGAAAUUCAAAUUAUAUUGAAAAUUAUGUCCUCAUAUUUUAUAUUUUAAUAUCAUCUUCCAAUGUUUUAGAUUUUGACUACAUAUAUAUUGUGUAUAUUGUCCCGUAUAAUUUGUCUUUCUGGUUUAGUUUUCCGGUGACAGUUUAACAAUAUUAUUAUAUAUCUAAUGCAAUUUUUUAUCCUAGAUAUGUAGCUUUUAAACGGAAAAAUCCUCUUUAUGCUUUGAUAGCUACUAGCAUUUAAUUCUAGCACCCCACUUUUUCCACAGGAACAAAAAAUAUUUACAUGUGUAAUAACAGUCAACUUUUUUGUCAGAAUGUAGCCCUCUAAGACCUUUUUCUCAGGAUACUAAAUCCAUUCAAUAUCAAAC